AUUGAACGCUGGCGGCAGGCCUAACACAUGCAAGUCGAGCGGAUGAAGGGAGCUUGCUCCUGGAUUCAGCGGCGGACGGGUGAGUAAUGCCUAGGAAUCUGCCUGGUAGUGGGGGAUAACGUCCGGAAACGGGCGCUAAUACCGCAUACGUCCUGAGGGAGAAAGUGGGGGAUCUUCGGACCUCACGCUAUCAGAUGAGCCUAGGUCGGAUUAGCUAGUUGGUGGGGUAAAGGCCUACCAAGGCGACGAUCCGUAACUGGUCUGAGAGGAUGAUCAGUCACACUAGAACUGAGACACGGUCCAGACUCCUACGGGAGGCAGCAGUGGAGAAUAUUGGACAAUGGGCGAAAGCCUGAUCCAGCCAUGCCGCGUGUGUGAAGAAGGUCUUCGGAUUGUAAAGCACUUUAAGUUGGGAGGAAGGGCAGUAAGUUAAUACCUUGCUGUUUUGACGUUACCAACAGAAUAAGCACCGGCUAACUUCGUG
rnacentral:rRNA from 1 species